CGCUUCGCGGUCGGCCAUUGGCCGUCGUUACGAGGGGCGGGAGUUUAAACUGGGCUGGGGCGAGGGCGUGGCCGGUGCGGGUGGGGCGGGGGUGCCCACCUGCCCACCCUCCGCAUCCUCCUAGCCUUUGCUUUGCUUUGCUUUCCUCACUUCCCCUCCCUGCUCCAGGAUGUGGGGAGGAGCGGAAGUAGCAGGGGGGCUCCUGUUUUCCUCACAGCGGACGCCCAAUAAAUGCUGUUGACUGAAUGAUGUUCAGGUCUGAAGUCAAAACCGAAAUCCCCUGCUGCUUUAACAGAAGGCCAACGCAGCUGUUUCCCAUCCGCACUGCCUGGCAAAGAAACUUGCAAUGACCCCAGAAGAACAUGGGGAGAUGUUGGCUCUUCCAUCAACCUGCACCCCUAAGUCACUGCAUGGCUCGGGGCAGAGGACCUCACCCACACCCACACUUAACCUGCAACAUGAAUGAGAAAGAAACAUUUGUGAUCUGUAAGCCACCUGAGAUCUUAGGGUUGUGUUAUCAUCACAUACCAUAUUUUAGCAUAGCAUACUAUAGCAUAGCACAAUACAGCAUAGCAUACCAUAGCACAGGUGCAGCAAUUAACUGUGUCUGCUACAGUAUACAUUUCCAAAUAUAUGGGUCUACAACUGAUAAUAGUGUUUUCUUGUGGUGAUUGUCAUCUCUGUUAUAAAUCCAUGGAUGUGCCUCCUUUUGCCUUCCUAUAGUGUUUAUUUGCAUUUUUGCCUUCUUCAUUAGUCUUGCUAUAUAUUUGUUCAUUUUAUUGGAGUUUUCAGAGUCGACUUUUAUUAUUUUUUUACCAUCUCCCUCUUUUAUCUGUUUUGUUUUCAAUUUCAUUUAUUUCUAGUCCUCGCUUUUUUUAUUUUCUUCUUCCUAAUUUCUUUGGGUUUACCCUGACAUUAUUUUUUACAACUCCUUGAGUUAAAUACCAAGUUCAUUUAAGUCUUUUUUUUUUCUUCUGAAUAUUGCUUAAAUUGCAUUGGAUAGUUUGGAUAUUUAUUAUUUUCAUUGUCCUUCAGUUUUUAAAUUCCUUAUAAUUUUCAUUGCCUAUUAACCCAUGAAUUAUCUAGAACUUUUAAGUUUCAAAAUAAAUUUAGUUUUCAAAUACAUUAAUAGUUUUACUCUUGA